rnacentral:tRNA from 1 species
GGGCACUUAGCUCAGUUGGUAGAGCAGCUGACUCUUAAUCAGUAGGUCACAGGUUCGAAUCCCGUAGUGCCCA